rnacentral:rRNA from 1 species
GUCAAGUCAUCAUGGCCUUUAUGCCCAGGGCGACACACGUGCUACAAUGGGGUACACAGAGGGAAGCGAUACAGUGAUGUGGAGCGGAUCCCAGAAAGUGCCUCUCAGUUCGGAUUGUAGUCUGCAACCCGACUACAUGAAGCCGGAAUCGCUAGUAAUCGCGGAUCAGCCAAGCCGCGGUGAAUACGUUCCCGGGCCUU